rnacentral:rRNA from 1 species
CUUGAUGGUAAGGUAACGGCUUACCAUGGCAAUGAUCAGUAGCCGACCUGAGAGGCGGUCGGCCACACUGGCACUGAACACGGGCCAGACUCCUACGGGAGGCAGCAGUGGGGAAUUUUGGGCAAUGGCGCAAGCCUGACCCAGCAACGCCGCGUGAGCGAUGAAGUCCUUCGGGAUGUAAAGCUCGUAAGUAUGGGAAAGAAUAAUAAGGUGCUAACACCAUCUUAGAUGACGGUACCAUACGUAAGCCCCGGCUAACUCCGUGCCAGCAGCCGCGGUAAUACGGGGGGGCAAGCGUUGUUCGGAAUUACUGGGCGUAAAGGGCGCGUAGGCGGCACGGAUAGUUGGGUGUGAAAAGCCCCGGAGCUUAACUCCCGGAAAUGUCACUCAAUACUUCCGAGCUAGAGUGUGGAAGGGGCAAUCGGAAUUCUUGGUGUAGCGGUGAAAUGCGUAGAUAUCAGGAAGAACACCUGUGGCGAAGGCGGAUUGCUGGGCUAACACUGACGCUGAGGCGCGAAAGCUAGGG